CCCGCCAUGUCAUACAUCAACGCGUGUCUGACGAAGCGGGAGCCCAAGCUGUGGGGCCAGUCCAUGCAGCAGGACGUCGCCAGCAGCAGUGCUUCUGCCUUGGUGCAGUGUGUGAUGUGGUUCCAGUGUGGUUUCUCUCCCCUGCGGUGGGCGUGGCCAGUACCACCAGGUAGGGUCCAGUCUGCCGUGGCUCGUCCCCCUUCCUUGGAUGGACCUCCUCCUCCUGUGGGUCUGGGCCGACGUGCCUCUCCUCCGUGGCUCCUUCCACCUGUUGAAACAGUGCUUCCUGCCUACAUGCCGCUCCCUGGACAUAGCUUCGUUUUUCUUGGGCUAACCUACUCAACGGGGGACCUUUAUCAGGUCUCCCUGGUACGGUACGGGCCUAGGCUGUCCAGUCAGCCUCUCAUGGGGAGUUAACUGUGUACUACGGCUAGUUUGUAUUCUCCUGCUUAUUAAUGCCAACGACCGAGCCGUCAGCCAGUCCAUUCUAGUCUCCCUGCAGAUUUUGGCUAGCUUUGCUUUCAGUGUACCACUAGCUCUCUCUCUCUGGGACUGGGGAUGAUGCCCCCAACCUAACCUCUGCUUGACCCUCAAUGACAGACAUAUUUAUUCAUUAUCGUGUUGUCAAAAGACACAACAAAUUACUCACCUGACAAAAUCAAGACUGUUUGCUGUUCCGGCUUCUCAGUGGUGGCCCGAGCUCCUCACUGACAUCAGGACAGCAGAAAGUCUCUAUAUCCUCCGCCGGAACCUAAAAACACACUUUUCCAACAAUACCUUGGAUAAAAACAGAUUAGCACUUCAGUGGCAUUUACUUAUGGUAUUACUUUCUUAAAGAAAUGUUACCCACUUGAUUCUUGUAGUUCUGAGUUUGUACUCAUGGUUGAAUGCACUUAUUGUAAGUCGCUUUAGACAAUCGCAUCAACUAAAUGACUUGAAAUGUAAAAACUGGGUCCCCUUAUCAGAACUGAUUAUUGGACGGCUUCCCCCCCUCUGCUGAAUCUGUCAAUCACCACCAACACAUACUGUUUUGCUUACCUGUCUGAUUAUAUCAAUGAAAUCAAAUAACACUCUGGCCGUCUGGAGCUGGAAUAUGGCCUAUCGGAGCGAUGUGCGACUUUCUCAUGUCGCGCUCCGCAACUUACGCCUGAUCGCACAGGAUUGUUGACUGUGGGUAACCUGUAUCGAGACCACCAGGUAGCCUGCAAAGCCUCCACCACCUCCCCCCUAAGGGUUCGUCAAGGCAGGUGCCCUGAUGAGAUCAAUCUUUAAAUGUAGCCACGCCUCCAUCUUUUGCUAACAACAUAUCGAGUGCCAUCUUGUUCUAAUAAGUCAUUAGAUGUCCUUGCAUUCCUGUCGGUCAUGUCAAGUUGUUGAAAUGCACAUAGUUUAGACAGUCCACAUUCUGAUUCUAAACCUACUGCGAUCUGAUCUAUUGGUUUGUACUCGUCUGGCCCUCCUCUGCGUACUCUGGCGUCAACAUAGAUUGUCGAGCCAGCUUCUAGGUCAAAAACAACCUUUUCUUUCUGUCCUUGUAUCUUCCUCUCUCUCUCUCACUGUCUAAAACACAUGUUAAAUCGCUCCCUUCCCCCUUUUGAAAUAGGAUGGAAUUCCUAAAUCCAUCCUUUUCAAUAAUAAUACUAAUAAGCAGUCAACCUCUAGAAGAAAACAGAGAAAAAAAUUAAAAAUGCAUGCGUCUGUCAAAUGAAUGCAGGAGAACCAUGUCUUAUCUGAACUCACAGCAUCAUCAUUGUGCUUGGGUUAGGAAUGUCAUAAUAAGUCAGCAUAAUUAGUAAAGAACAGGUUACACAUUUAUUUAUUGGCCCCAAAUCAAGGCCCAUUUUCAAGGUUUAGGAAAUUAAUUAAUUAAUUAAUGUAUUCCAGGGAGCCCUCGUCCGCUCCAGUACACCUGCCUAUAACAGCCAUUCUAUGGUUUAAAAAAAUAUAUCUACAGUCUGUUCCAUCCUUAAGGGAUGCUGGUGACGAUUAAAUUGGAAUCGUACACGGUUUUAACUCUAUCUCUACGGGAGCUAUCGGAAUCAGUCACACAUCAGUUCACCCUUUAGUCCACAAAGUGUCUGGAAAUAAGCUAAGCAUGUUGUCAGUGUCCCCAUGAUCAGUGUUCUCUCUACUAUGUGUGUGGCUAAGCAUGUGUCUCUAAUACUAACUGGACCUCCGAUGUGUGUGCAGUUCUGUAUAUGUUCUCAGAUGUGGAGCAAGUGUUUAUUUUGUGUGUGCACCCAGUCCGUAGCCUCAACCUCUGCUUCCACCCUUGUUCUUCUCUGUGCCUCCACUCUGGACCAACACUGUGAUGUGGAGCUGCGGUGUCAACGACUGCAUACAAUCUGCAACUCUGGUGUUCAUUCACCAGCCGCUGCUACUCCUUGCUUCUCUGCAUAGAUCUCCGAGCCUCCACAGUUGGGUUUUCACGAACCUCUCGUGUUGCAGGCCUUCCCCCAGGAUCUCAGAUCUCUUCUUGUAUCAAGGUGCAGUUAAGGGCACAAUGUCUUUGGUCCCCUGGUGGCGAGUAGGGAUGCAGGACUUUGAACCAAAGUCUCCACUGCUGGUGUGAUGUCAUCAUCAUCUACUCUGUCCCACCGGACGCUUUGCUUCCUGUUCAGUGUCUCUUUAGUCUCCAGUUGAAUUAAGAGGGGCUGACUCCCAGGCUGCUUACUAACACUGGUUAGCUCUCAGGCAGCCAAUUGGCUUUGGAUGCCUGUGAGGCACUUGACGUUGAGACUGGUUGACUGUAGACUGAUAUCCCUUAGUUAAAUUGUCCUCAUGCCUCCUCAUACAGAUAGGCCUAUUGAAUAAAUCUGCCAGAUUAUUUUUAACAUUGCAUAUGCCUAACAUUAUGUGAUAAUACUAAUCACACUCAUAUUGCCUUUCUCUUUCAGUUUAUGAAGAAAUGGCGCCCAGGAAGGGUAAGGUUCAACCUAGACCUACUUUAAUGACUAAAAAAAGUCUCUUUCACACACUGACAUUUAACAAUGACUUCAAUAAUUCCCCAAAAAAUACUUAUUAGUUCCUUGCAAUGUCUUUAUACAGUAGGACGGAAGCGGAAGGCCCUGCAGGUGUCAAAAGGUGGACCAUCUGCAAAGAUCGCAAUUUUCCACCAGUCACCACUGGUUGGUGGAGCCUCCGCCCCAGCCCCAACCCCAUCUAGCCCUGCUGCUCCAUCCACCCCUCCUGCCCCAUCCGGCCCUGCUGCUCCAUCCACCCUUCCAGCCCCAUCCGGCCCUGCUGCUCCAUCCACCCCUCCUGCCCCACCCAGCCCUGCUGCUCCAUCCACCCUUCCUGCCCCAUCCGGCCCUGCUGCUCCACCAUCCCCUACUGCCCCAUCCGGCCCUGCUGCUCCACCAAGCCCUACUGCCCCAUCCCAGCCGGCAUUUCAGAAUGUCCACAGCCUUUUGAGGACAUGCUCGGGGCAUCGGAGCAAAAGGUGAAGUGCACAGCUAGGCAUAGGUUUCUUCAAGACAGGUUUAUAUUUUUAGUGGUAGUGUGGUAGUAACAGUGCUGAGACCAUUUGUGAUGGGAUCUGGGAAAACCAGUCACAUGGUGAAAUUUGACCUUUUGGAAGCUGACUUCAAGCUUGUUUCAAAUAUUUUUCAUUAUUUGUCUGUUUCAAAUGUUAUGAUUGCCCAAAGUCAGCUGAUCAGUUAGAUUUCAUGGAAUAGAAUUUUGACAAAAACAACUUUAAAGAGAGGGGUUCUAAAUAGACUGGCUGGUUGAAUAAAGCACAUUUUAACACAUUCAAUUAAUGAAAAACAAGUAGAUAUGUUUAGGGAUGGUAGACAACAUGUUAUAGAAUAAUAAUUGAAUCAAAACCCAAUUUCACCAAAAUACUGAGUUUCGACCUACUAGUAUUUUCACUCUAAUCUCAAAAAUGUCCUUUUCACCAUGUGACUGGUUUCCCCAGAGCCCAUCACAGUUUUGGGUUAUAGGAACAUCUGUUGGGAUGGCAGUAAAGACAGAAGGGCUAUGUACAGACAUUACAUGUGUACAAUACUGUACUGUAUGUAAAGAAGAUGAAAUCUUAAUAUUGUUACGAAUAAUAUUGUUGAAACAUUGAAACCUUCUUUGAGUGUGACUCAGAAAUUAUUUUUUACAAAGAUACCAGAUAACGGUGGAGGAGAUCAGGAGGAGGACUGCUCCACCUGAGAGCAUGUCAAUAAAUACCCUCACUGCGCUCCUGAGAACCGACAACAAUUUGAAGAGGGACCUCAGGGAGCAGCUGCAGGAGGUCGGGGUGACUCCGGGCACAGUGACCAAAGUCACCUCACUUUGCUCAAAGCUGUCAGAGGGUACAGUUCAAUUCUACUCACUAUUCUUGUAACGGCACUUUUUACAUACAUUUAUAUCAAUAAAGAACUUCAGAAAGCCAGCUCCAAACUAUUACACCCCAGUGUCAAUAAGUGUUUCAUUGUCACAUUGGUAUGUGCAUCAAAUCUGAAUUUAAUACUGUGUUCGUGUCAUGAUAUGUCUUUCC